UACGUAGGGUCCAAGCGUUGUCCGGAAUUACUGGGUAUAAAGGGUGCGCAGGCGGAUCUGCACGUCAAAGGUUAAAGACCCGGGCUCAACCCGGGAAGUGCCUUCGAUACGGCAGGUCUUGAGUGUGAGAGAGGAUAGUAGAAUUCCUGGUGUAGCGGUGAAAUGCGUAGAUAUCAGGAGGAAUACCAGUGGCGAAGGCGGCUAUCUGGCUCAUAACUGACGCUUAGGCACGAAAGCGUGGGGAUCAAACAGG
rnacentral:rRNA from 1 species